rnacentral:rRNA from 1 species
GACGAAGGGGGCUAGCGUUGUUCGGAGUUACUGGGCGUAAAGCGCGUGUAGGCGGUUGUUCAAGUCAGGUGUGAAAGCCUUGAGCUCAACUCAAGAAAUGCACUUGAUACUGGAUGACUAGAGGACCGGAGAGGAUAGUGGAAUUCCCAGUGUAGUGGUGAAAUACGUAGAGAUUGGGAAGAACACCAGUGGCGAAGGCGGCUAUCUGGACGGUUUCUGACGCUAAGACGCGAAAGCGUGGGGGGCAAACAGG